GACGAACGCUGGCGGCGUGCUUAACACAUGCAAGUCGAACGGAAAGGCCUUUUCGGAGGUACUCGAGUGGCGAACGGGUGAGUAACACGUGGGUGAUCUGCCCUGCACUCUGGGAUAAGCCUGGGAAACUGGGUCUAAUACCGGAUAGGACCGCACUUUAGUGUGUGUGGUGGAAAGUUUUUUCGGUGUAGGAUGAGCCCGCGGCGUAUCAGCUUGUUGGUGGGGUAAUGGGCUACCAAGGCGGCGACGGGUAGCCGGACUGAGAGGUUGUUCGGCCACAUUGGGACUGAGAUACGGCCCAGACUGCUACGGGAGGCAGCAGUGGGGAAGAUUGCACAAUGGGCGCAAGCCUGAUGCAGCGAGGCCGCGUGGGGGAUGACGGCCUUCGGGUUGUAAAAUACUUUCGCCAGAGACGAAGCGUUUUGUGACGGUACCUGGAGAAGAAGCACCGGCUAACUACGUG
rnacentral:rRNA from 1 species